rnacentral:rRNA from 1 species
CCAAUAGCGUAUAUUAAAGUUGUUGCAGUUAAAAAGCUCGUAGUUGAAUUUCGGGAUCAAUAUGUCGGUCGUGCCUCGGUACGUACUGGCGUAAUUGGUUUCUCCCUUCUGACGAACCAUGAUGUCAUUUAUUUGGUGUCGUGGGGACUUAGGACUGUUACUUUGAAAAAAUUAGAGUGUUUAAAGCAGGCUCACGCUUGAAUACAUUAGCAUGGAAUAAUGAAAUAGGACGUUUGAUUCUAUUUUGUUGGUUUCUAGGAUCGACGUAAUGAUUAAUAGGGAUAGUUGGGGGCAUUAGUAUUCAAUUGUCAGAGGUGAAAUUCUUGGAUUUAUUGAAGACUAACUACUGCGAAAGCAUUUGCCAAGGAUGUUUUCAUUAAUCAAGAACGAAAGUUAGGGGAUCGAAGACGAUCAGAUACCGUCGUAGUCUUAACCAUAAACUAUGCCGACUAGGGAUCGGAUGAUGUUAAUUUUUUAAUGACUCAUUCGGCGCCUUACG